GGCAGUCAGAACAUGGGGGCUAAGCUCCAUGCUCAAGAGGGAAACAGCCCGGAUCUUCAUCUAAGGUCCCUAAAUCAAGCUGAGUGCAACAUUACAAGGAAGUGGAAUUCCAGUGAUAGCUAGGAGGUUUGCUCAGAAGCAGCCAUCCUCUAAGCAGUGCGUAAUAGCUGACUAGCUAAGGAGUUCUGCGCCGAAGAUUCACAGGGGCUAAGCUUGAUACCGAAGAUAAGGAUGUGCACUUUAUUGUGUACGUGGUAGGGGAGCGUCUUCAUUGCGCUGAAGUCAGGAGGGGACUCCUGGUGGAGCGAUGAGGAGUGAGAAUGUUGGCAUGAGUAACCGCAAGGCAGGUGAAAGCCCUGCCCACCGAAAAUCCAAGGGUUCCUUGGCAAUGGUAAUCAGCCAAGGGUUAGGCGGCCCUUAGGUCGUAUCCGAAAGGAUCCGACUGAUGGACAGCUGGUUAAUAUUCCAGCCCCUUGCCGCAUGCUUCUUUGGAGUGCGGAGUGCAGUAGCUUGAGCAGAUUAUUGGAUUUCUGUCCAUUGCGUGAGGGGAAACCCAAGCGUCGUGGCGAUCCGGUCCGCCGGAGAGUCAAGUGAGCGCGCUUCCUAGAAAAGCUCCAGAGAUAUGAGUGCGGUGAGCCCGUACCGGAAACCGACACAGGUGGAUUGGCGCCAGAAUGCCUAGGUGAACGGGUGAAAGCUCCUGAAGGAACUCGGCAAUCAAGCGGUCGUAACUUCGGAAUAAGGCCUUCCCAUCGCAAGAUGGGACGCAGCGAAUGUCUCCCAAGCGACUGUUUACCAAAAACACAGGUCUCUGCUCAACUCGUAAGAGGAUGUAUAGAGGCUGACGCCUGACCAGUGCUGGAGUGUCAAGCCCGCAGGUCGUGCUUCGCAAGAGGUACGGCUUAGUGGGUCAAGCCCCAGUGAACGUCCGCGGUAACUAUAACCGUGUUAAAGUAGCGUAAUCCCUUGCCUGGUAAGUUCAGGCCCGCAUGAAAGGCGUAACGACUUGGGAACUGUCUCCAGGAGCAGCCCGGUGAAAAUGCAAUACCGGUAAAGAUGCCGGUUACCUGCGGCUAGACAGAAAGACCCCGGGAGCUUUACUGUAGCUUCUUAUUGCUUUGCCAUCUUGAAUGCGUAGCAUAGUGGGGAGACUUUGAAGUCCCGCUUUCGGGCGGGAUGGAGUCGUCAGUGCAAUACCCAUCUUUUAAGACGUCAACGCUAACCCGCUAUCAAGCGGGGACAGUUGGAGGUGGGCAGUUUAAGUGGGGCGCUUUUCUCCUAAAGAGUAACGGAGAAGUUCAUAAGGUUGGCUAGCUCCGGAUGGAAAUCGGAGUGGUCCUGUAAAGGGAAAAGCCAGCUUUACUGCGAGGCGGAUAUGCCGAGCAGUUGGGAAACCAGGACUUAGUGAACCGACGCGUCGUUGUAGAAGGCGCGAAGAUCAUCAGCCAAAAGCUACCCCGGGGAUAACAGGCUGGUAGGGCCCACGAGUCCAUAUCUACGGCCCUGUUCGGCACCUUGAAUUACAUUGGGGUGCUCUGACAGUAAUGUCAUAAUCUUGCAAGCUACCAGAAUGCAAGAAAACCUAGCUCAUAACGGUGAACUCCGUAUGCCCUAACCCAGCAUAGGGACAAUACCGUGGGAAGUUUACCUUAUACGGGUAUAACCCCCGAGAGACUUGAUCCAGAAAUGGAUCAGAGUUCUUCUGAGAAAGAAGAGCUAACAUGCUAGCCCCAUCUGCGAAGAUGGGUGAAGGUAUAGUCCAAUCCUUCCGGUAACGGGAGAAAGGAAUAGAUAGAUGCGAUGUCGGCUCAUCACAUCCUGGGGGCGGAGAAGCUCCCAAGGGUUUGGCUGUUCGCCAAUUAAAGUGGUACGUGAGCUGGGUUCAAACCGGCGCAAGCCAGGUUGGUCCCUAUCUACCGCAGGCGUUGAGACUUGAGGGACGUCAUUCCUAGUACGAGAGGACCGGAAUGAGUCAACCUCUGGUGUACCAGUUGUUCCGCCAGGAGCAUCGCUGGGUAGCUAUGUUGAUCUGGGAUAAGCGCUGAAAGCAUCUAAGCGCGAAGCUCUGCCCAAGAUGAGGUCUCGUAGACCCCUCGGAGACCACGAGGUUGAUAGGCUCCAGGUGGAAGCGCGGUAACGCGUUGAGCCGAGGAGUACUAAUGGUCACAUAAGUGCAAUAU
rnacentral:rRNA from 1 species